rnacentral:rRNA from 1 species
AUGACGAUGAUGAUGCAGAUUAGGCCUCAUAUUGCCAUCUCAAAUCUCAUGGUGGUGGUAGGAGCCGUGAUGCUGCUGCUGCUGCAGCAGGGUCGUUGGGCUGAGGCGCAGCCCUCUCCCGGCUACUACCCGAGCUCCAAGGUGAGCUCAAUGCCCUUCUCGCAGUGGUACAGCAACCUGUGGGGCGCCCAGCACCAGUCCCUCUCCCCGGACCAGACCUCCCUCACCCUCUGGAUGGACCGCAGCUCAGGGAGCGGGUUCAAGUCGAAGCGGGCGUACCGGAACGGCUACUUCGGCGUCUCCAUGAAGGUCCAGCCCGGCUACACCGCCGGCGUCAACACCGCCUUCUACCUGUCCAACAACGAGGCGUACCCGGGGUACCACGACGAGAUCGACGUGGAGCUGCUGGGCACCGUCCCCGGCGAGCCCUACACGCUGCAGACCAACGUGUACGUCCGCGGCACGGGCGACGCCCACCCCAUCGUCGGCCGGGAGAUGCGGUUCCACCUCUGGUUCGACCCCGCCGCGGCCUUCCACCACUACGCCGUGCUCUGGAACCCCGACGAGAUCGUCUUCCUCGUCGACGACGUGCCCGUGCGCCGCUACCAGAAGAAGGUGGAGGCCACGUUCCCCGAGCGCGAGAUGUGGGCCUACGGCUCCGUCUGGGACGCCUCCGACUGGGCCACCGACGGCGGCCGCUACAGGUCCGACUACCGCUACCAGCCCUUUGUGUCCGGGUUCAAGGAUUUCAAGGUCGCCGGCUGCGAGGUCGGCGCGCCGGCGUCGUGCAGCCCCGUGCCGGCGGGCCCCGGAGGCGGGCUGAGCGCGCAGCAGACCGCCGCCAUGAGCUGGGCGCAGCAGCGGGCCAUGGUCUACUACUACUGCCAGGAUAGCUCCAAGGACCGCUCCAACUACCCCGAGUGCUAG